UAGUGUAGACCUGCCCUUAGGUUUCCAAGAUUGGGGUUUUCUUUUCAGUUUCAAUGUCUUUCCAUUAACUGUAAUGGUCCAGCGUUGUCUCUUCCUGGCUGGACAAUGGAUGGGUACUUGCAGUUAGUUUAAUGUAACAACUAGGCUGAAAACUGUCUC